UUCAAUCACUUCAACAUUAGUGGUUCAAAACUAGCGAGAAGUGAUUACCUGGCCCCGCCCACUGAAGUCCAACUCAACCAAUGAGAUUAUUUCUGUCUCCAGAGCAGAAAUGUUUGAGGAACUAAAAGCACAAUCAGCUUGAUGUCGAGGAGAAGGGCUGUGCAGCAGAGAGGCUCUUUAGCUUUUUCAUUCUACUGCAGUAGAAGAACAUUGUUCAUCUGCUGUCUGUUUGGCUUCAACAACUCCAAAGACAUGUUGCUUUACCUCUUUUUGUUUUUAUCUCACUUCAUAGACAUGGGUUCCAUGAACAGCAUAAAGCUAGAAAGUGCUGAAGAAGUUGUUGCAGAGGGAACAAACAUCAACCUGACCUGUAAAUAUGACGGUGCUAUCAACAAUAUCCAGUGGUACAGACAAUACCAGAGAUCCAGACCAGAGUUCCUGCUCUACAUCACAGAGGGAGGAUUGAUUCAUCGAAUUCUUUCUGAUUUCUCAGCUCACAUUAACAAAGGAGAGAAACGUGUAGAUCUGGAGAUCAUCUCAGCUAAAGUGACAGACUCUGCUGUGUACUACUGUGCUCUGACGCCCACAGUGACAGGAAACACCACAACU